GAUGAACGCUGGCGGCGUGCCUAAUACAUGCAAGUCGAGCGAAUGGAUUAAGAGCUUGCUCUUAUGAAGUUAGCGGCGGACGGGUGAGUAACACGUGGGUAACCUGCCCAUAAGACUGGGAUAACUCCGGGAAACCGGGGCUAAUACCGGAUAACAUUUUGAAUCGCAUGGUUCGAAAUUGAAAGGCGGCUUCGGCUGUCACUUAUGGAUGGACCCGCGUCGCAUUAGCUAGUUGGUGAGGUAACGGCUCACCAAGGCAACGAUGCGUAGCCGACCUGAGAGGGUGAUCGGCCACACUGGGACUGAGACACGGCCCAGACUCCUACGGGAGGCAGCAGUGGGGAAUCUUCCGCAAUGGACGAAAGUCUGACGGAGCAACGCCGCGUGAGUGAUGAAGGCUUUCGGGUCGUAAAACUCUGUUGUUAGGGAAGAACAAGUGCUAGUUGAAUAAGCUGGCACCUUGACGGUACCUAACCAGAAAGCCACGGCUAACUACGUGCCAGCCGCCGCCGUAA
rnacentral:rRNA from 1 species